UACGGAGGAUCCAAGCGUUAUCCGGAUUUAUUGGGUUUAAAGGGUCCGCAGGCGGAUUAUUAAGUCAGUGGUGAAAUCCUGCAGCUCAACUGUAGAACUGCCAUUGAUACUGAUAGUCUUGAGUGUGGUUGAAGUGGGCGGAAUGUGUCAUGUAGCGGUGAAAUGCAUAGAUAUGACACAGAACACCGAUUGCGAAGGCAGCUCACUAAGCCAUUACUGACGCUCAGGGACGAAAGCGUGGGGAUCAAACAGG
rnacentral:rRNA from 1 species